rnacentral:misc_RNA from 1 species
GUCGAAGGUGGGGCUGAUGACUGGGGUGAAGUCGUAACAAGGUAUCCGUACCGGAAGGUGCGGAUGGAUCACCUCCUAACAGGGAGACAAAACAAUGAUUUUGAUGUCUGAGUAUUUUAUUCUUAGGCCGAAAUCCUGUCACCUUAGGUCGAUCGGUACCUCAACAUUAUUUCAAAGAUUGAUGAGCAAUCAUCGAGAGAUUGAAAGAGAUGUUCAGUUCCUAAACUUUGUCUAGGUCACACCCCGCAAGGGAAGAGUCCCCUGGGCCAUUAGCUCAGGUGGUUAGAGCGCACCCCUGAUAAGGGUGAGGUCCCUGGUUCAAGUCCAGGAUGGCCCAUUCGGUGUUGGGGGUUUAGCUCAGUUGGUAGAGCGCCUGCUUUGCAAGCAGGAUGUCAGGAGUUCGAGUCUCCUAACCUCCACUGACCGAACUCAAUCUCCAUUGUCCGGUAACUCGGAGGAUGAACUCGAGGGAGUGUGAUUUAGAUGUGUCCACUAGAUUGGACCCCAGCUUCCUGUCAUUCCAAAUCAGUAAGAACUACAUGAUUGGUUGAUAAGAUGCUGGGCUCAGAUUAAUUGCAAGAUUAAUUUGAUGUCUAGUAGAACCUUGACAACUGCAUAGGUAAGUCUGGAAAAACAAAGCAUCUUACAGAUGCAUUGUUUUCAGUUUAAAUUCCCGAAAGGAAAUUUAAACUUUGAACAAUGAAAAUUCUUUUGAGCAAGAGCCGAGACUCUUAAAUGUUCUUUGAUUCGUGUCGAGCGAAUCAGAGUUUGAUUUUGUUUUUAUGAGCAACGAAAGUUGUUAAUGAAACCAGAAAAAUCUGCUUUCAACCGCAGUAAGCGUUUAAGAGGUUAAUUGGUCAAGCUACAAAGGGCUC